CUGCUAUUUAAAAGCAAAUCUGCUGUAACAAUUGCCAGUGAUCCUGAUCACUUUCUGUAUUUUCAGUUGAAAAUGAAGAUAAACAAUGAAGCAUUUUUAUCAAUUAUUUCAAAGCAUUUUACAAAAAAAAAAAAAAAAUCAGGAUAAAAAUCUUUUUUAACUAAUGAAGAAACUUAGGAAGAGCAAAAAAAAUGUGGAAAAAGAAAGGAAAACAUGAUUUUCUCAGUAUUACGAGGUAGGUAACCCAGGCACUAUGUGCUGCUGCUGUGGGACAAGGAGGGACAAAGCGGAAUCCGGUACCUUUGGAACUCUUACUUUAUAGCCCCACAUGGUCAUCCUUAGUCUGUGGAGGAAGGUAGCAGCCUGUGCUGCCUGCUUUCUCCUCCUCCCAUCUCAGGAUGAAAACUAGAAAAAAAAUGCUCUGUACUUGCAUUUCAAAGGCAUAGUCUAGUCCUUAGCAUGUGGUCUGAAUUAGAAAGAUAUUGCUGUAGUUAAUAUUAGAUUUUCAAGAAAAGUUCUUCUUUAUUUACUCGCAUCUUUUAAAAAAUCCAAAUUCAUAAUGUUGAAUGCACAAAUUUUAUUUCCUAUUAACACACUGUAUUCUUGAAUUGGUAGUAAAGAGAAUUUUAAACAACAGUGGCAGAUGGCCGAAUUACCCCUCCAGGGUGACUGGAAAGGAUGGUCACUGUUUUACUCGAUAGAUUAUGGUGAAGUGUAUUGAGAUAACAUGGACUGGGUGUGUAUUGUUGCAUUAGAAAUAAGACAUACAAUUUUGGCUAGAGUUUCUGUCUGCCCUCCCAUCUGAUCCAGAGAGCCACUAAUUUAGUACAAGUGUUCAUUAUGAAAAAUGUAAUAGACCUGAAGCUGGAUGACUGGGUCCUGGGAGCUAUUCAGCUAUUCCAUUAUUUUAUUUUAUCUUAUUUUACAGACACUGAGGAUUGUACCAUAUGUUUCUUUAACUGUAUUCCUGGUAAAAAUCUGAUUUUGAUUGGCACAAAUUGAACGUAUUCCAUAUAUCCUAACCUAUUACAGGUUAUCCUUACCCUAGCAAUUGAACUUUAGCUCUAAUUCAGAAGAAGAAAAAAAAAAAAAAAAAAGAAAAAAGAGUGCAAAGGCAAUCGUUUUCAUGUCUUUGCCAGAUGAAGCUGAAUAGAAGUACUGUCAGAGUAAGAAAUUCAGGAUUUGACCCUCUGAGUAGAUUUUAUUUUCAAAGCAGGUUCCCAGAAGCCACAGAGAAAAAAGGAAACAAAGCUAAAAUUGGGACAAGGUCAACUGGAUACAGAAGAGACUGUAACAAACCUAAAAUAGUUCUGUUAUUUUUGUUUCAGCUAAAGUUCACAGAAUUUUUAUUAAUAAUCUAACCUAGAUAUUUAGGCAGGAAUCAGACAGAACAACUUUUUAAUGACUGCCCAGCGGGAAGGUUAUAUUCAUAACUAGUGUUCAUAGUUCACUUCAUAUUUGACACUGACAGAUACAGUUACUGCCUUAAAUAUUGAAAGCCUAAGAAGUAUCCCUCUACAAACAGUAUAACACAUUACAGAGAGUUGAAGAAAUCUUUUGAGUGUAUUCAUUGCUUGGAAACAUAUAUAUUAUACAUACGUACAAGCAAUGAGAAACACGUGUAUUUUAUCAGGAUAAGCUACACUUAUUUGCAACCAGUAUGGGUAGGAGAAGGAUCAGGUCUUAUUUUAACAUGAUAGAAAUGCAGACAGGGAAAAUUUUCUGAGCAGAAAUUCAUACUUUCAAAUCAGUGGAUAGAGUUAAUUAAUCUUAAUUAAAAAAAAAUGAAGAUACUAUUUUUACUUCAGCCUCUUCUCUAAAGUAAUUAUACCACAGAUGAGGCAUAUACUUACUCUGAUACACCACCAACUUCCCCAAUUCCCCCCAGAAAGAAAAAUAAUAACAACAAAAACAACACUGCACUCCAAAAAGAAAAGAGAAGAAAAGAGAAGAGAAGAAAAGAGAAGAGAAGAAAAGAGAAGAAAAGAGAAGAGAAGAAAAGAGAAGAAAAGAGAAGAGAAGAGAAGAGAAGAGAAGAGAAGAGAAGAGAAGAGAAGAGAAGAAAAGAAAAGAAAAGAAAAGAAAAGAAAAGAAAAGAAAAGAAAAGAAAAGAAAAGAAAAGAAAAGAAAAGAAAAGAAAAGAAAAGAAAAGAAAAGAAAAGAAAAGAAAAGAAAAGAAAAGAAAAGAAAAGAAAAGAAAAGAAAAGAAAAGAAAAGAAGACCAAAUUAGGCAUCGGAUAUCACGAGUCACAGUGGUACUCAGAGUUCCUUCUGCUGCUACGAAUAGAAAUUACUGUUAAAAGUCUCUCUGAAAAGGUGUCUGUAAUUCAGAAUUUGUUUUAUGUGCAAUUUAAAGUAGCUUAAAUUUAUUUGUUCUCUUUCAGAAGUUAUACUUUAACAUGAAAAACACCGAAGAGCAUAAAUUGUUCUUUAUUUAACAAUUUUAGAUCUGGGAAUAUUUCAUUUAGAUCUAUUCUAGAUUUUACUGCUGGUGUUAACAUGCAGGUAGUAUUCUGUCAUUCUUUCAGUUUUGCAAUGAUCUAACAGUGAAUUUUUCACUGAUGCAACAUGCAGAUAUUAUUCUUUUAUAUGCAUUUCAGUAAAUAUUAAACAAGUAUAUAAAAUAUAUGUAAAGGGUACUGGGAAUUUAGGGCCUACUCUGUAUGCUUAUGAUGGAGGUUGUUGUCCACUCUUCCGAAAGAUGACACUCGAGAAUUCAGAUGACAUGGAAAAUACAGAGGUUUUAAAUAGUGAUGCAGCUAAAAUGCAAAACUCAGCCAAUGACAGCAAUAUCCCUUCCAAACUCUUUUUAACAGACACAAACUACUAAAUCCUUUAACUACAGAAUUGAGUCUGACUGACAGCUGAAGAAAAGUACACCUGGUAUUUAGAGAUAAACACUCUCAGUGUCAUAAAAAGGUAUGCCAGAUCUAACCUUCAGCCUGGACUUAGAAUGUCACAGUACAAAGGAAAUAGUUUUGUUUUUAUUCUUUGUCAUUAACAGGCUGGCUGAGCCAGGAGUUGGCUCUGAGUUCCUUAAAAAUGAGAGCAAAAAUGUAAUGUAUUUACGUCCUAAUCACAAAAAUGCCAGAAUAGUCUGCAUACUUUGUUAAUAGUCCUAAUGCCUUUCCAGGAAGGACAUACAGAGUAGUCUCAUUGGGGUUACUCUUAGUGUUAAAAUCAUGGAUCUGUUAAAUGUGUUAGGAAAUUAUGAUCUUUACUGUAUAAUUAGUAAGAUCUCUUGAUUCUCAUUGCUUAAGAUCCCAGAAGCUGAUAGGAGCUACUUUCUCUAUUUUACAGUGGGUAAGCUUGGGUGCAUGAAGAUAGUCCUGCCAAAGGCCAGGCAGGGAAUCCUUAACAAAGCCCAGAGCCCUUUAAGUUUCAUCUGAGUACUUUAACUUCACAGCAGCAAUUUUUAUCACCCUUUUAAUUUCACUGAAAAAGCCUUUAAAUACUCAAUAUAAUAACAGGUGACUGAAGGAUGAUCUGGAGGUAACUUGAAAGGAGAAGAUUUUUUUGCUUUCCACCUUAAAAAAGCACGGGUAUAUUAAACAAUGAGAACUGACAACAAAGGUAAGCUAAAAGCUAAACAUAAUAAGACACUGUUUUCAGCAUUUCAAAAGAACUAAAUACAACACAUCAGCAGCUUCAAAAUCCUUUUGAACAAAUGCACUCAGAAACAACUAACUGGCAAACAAAGCUAUUAUGAAGAUGACAGUGUGGCCAGUGAUCUUUUGGCACAUCAACUCCAUAAAGUGUAGGCCUCUAGGAAUACUCCUCACAUUUCAGUAAGUAGAAGAGCAAAUUUAACAACAGAUACUGAGGUCAGGGUAUUAUAAUUUGUUGAUUUUUACAAAGUUUAAUAGAUGAGAAUGUCCCCAAAAUGAGAAGUAUAUCCCUUAUUUAUUGUUGAAGGGAUUUGAUUUACUUUAAAUUUUAAAGGAUCGAUACAGUGAUCAGAAUUUCAGAGUCCCAGUCACAAUACUUUAUAUUUAGAUUAAUUUUUAUUCUGCCAAAGCAAUAUAGAAGCAUCUUAAACAGCACUCAUAACAUAAGAUAGAUGUCCUGUACCCUAUCAUGUAUCAUAAUUAACUAAGUAAUUAAGCUGCUCUCAACAGACAGAUAGAAGAUCAUGCUAGUUUACGAAGACUACAAAGCAUGGUUCAAAUAAUACAUGGAAAUAACAACAUCCUUUCAAAAAUACAAGUCUUCUUUAGCUGCUGGUUUUGUGUAACUAUACAUAAGAAGCUGUAUAGCAGAAAAAAAUCUUUCAGCCUCAUUAAUAAGGAAUGUCACUAAAAAAUAGGUAGGUAAUCAUGUCUCAUUAUCUUUCAAGAAUGUCACAGCAGAAUCAACACAGCUUCAUGGUGUUUAGGGAGAAAGGAAAGGGAACAGUCUGGCUAUCCCAUUGGCUUUCUGCUGGCUCAUGAAGAGACACUUUGAGAUGA
ensembl:lncRNA